rnacentral:rRNA from 1 species
AGAGUUUGAUCCUGGCUCAGAACGAACGCUGGCGGCGCGCCUAAUACAUGCAAGUCGAACGAGAAUGUGUAGCAAUACACAUGUACUGUGGCGAACGGGUGAGGAUUACAUGGGUAACCUACCCUCGAGUGGGGAAUAACUAGCCGAAAGGUUAGCUAAUACCGCGUACGCUUCCCGGACUGCGGUUCGGGAAGGAAAGCGAUACCGUGGGUAUCGCGCUCUUGGAUGGGCCCAUGCCCUAUCAGCUUGUUGGUGAGGUAACGGCUCACCAAGGCUUCGACGGGUAGCUGAUCUGAGAGGAUGAUCAGCCACACUGGAACUGAGACACGGUCCAGACUCCUACGGGAGGCAGCAGUGGGGAAUAUUGGACAAUGGGCGCAAGCCUGAUCCAGCCAUACCGCGUGGGUGAAGAAGGCCUUCGGGUUGUAAAGCCCUUUUGUUGGGAAAGAAAUCCUGUCGGUUAAUACCCGGCGGGGAUGACGGUACCCAAAGAAUAAGCACCGGCUAACUUCGUGCCAGCAGCCGCGGUAAUACGAAGGGUGCAAGCGUUACUCGGAAUUACUGGGCGUAAAGCGUGCGUAGGUGGUUGUUUAAGUCUGUCGUGAAAGCCCUGGGCUCAACCUGGGAAUUGCGAUGGAUACUGGACGACUAGAGUGUGGUAGAGGGAUGUGGAAUUUCCGGUGUAGCAGUGAAAUGCGUAGAGAUCGGAAGGAACAUCUGUGGCGAAAGGCGACAUCCUGGGGCCAACACUGACACUGAGGCAC